UUAUUGCAACGACAUUAUUUUACACCAAUAAAAUCUACUUCCAAUGUUAGAAGAUAGAUAUUCUUUAAUUGCAAUUAUAUGCAUGUGUGUGUGUGCGUGUGCGUAUGCGCGCGCACAUGUGUUUAUCAUUUUAUCCGAAAGCUUUCAUACCAUAGAUAACGCUUUGAAGUAACAGAACUUGGAAUGAAUAUGAAGAAUAUAUGGACUUUUGAAUUGCUCAAAAAGUAUCAGAAGGGAUAGUAUUAAAUUCUUCAUGAAAGUAUAUACGCUAUAAUCGCGAAGGAUUGUUAUAUCGAAAAGCAAAAUUUUUAAUAUAGAAAAUAUUUGAAUUUUUAAAUUGUUCAGCUUCAGCAUGUAUUUUUAUGAUUUUUAUAAUAGGUGUAAGAGAUGUAAGAAAGCUUAGAAAUAGCAUUCUAUUCCUCAAAAGUUUACGAUGUUUAGUAUUUACAAAUAUUAUCUGUCAAAUGGACCGUGAGGUUGAUGUAGCAUCAACUGGAACCGGAUCAGUCGCUGUUUUCAGCAUAAGUUCGCAGCCAUCUCGUUUAAUCGCAUCGAGACGAACCAGAAUCUUGACAUUUUGCAAUGUUAUUUCCAUAAUAUGAUUCUCAUGUAUUAAUAACCAUUCUUUAUGUCAUUUCGCGAAAUAAGGACUAUAUUCUGAGCAUUUGAUAUAAUCAAUCAUAUGAUUAAUUACAAAACAACUCCUCCUAAACUACCAAGGACUAUGUAACUUUGUUUGAAAUACAAGUAUAAGAAGGUUCAGCCUGAAUGCGUGUAUUUAGUGGAUUAUUCUCUUCACGGAGGUUUAUGAGUUCCUAUGACGUUUAAGGUGGAUUACAGGUCAAAAUUUAUAUUGUUAAAACAAAAACAUGUUCCACGAUUAAUAAAAUAUUUAAAGACAUAAAAUAAUAUAAAAUAAGUAAAAUACGAAAAAACAACAAAUGUCAACUUAUUUUCUCAAUAAGGUUUCUUGCAGGUAUGAAUCUAAGCACUGCCACUACUUGAUAUUUACCGAAGACUAUCCUAAUUAUCGAUUCGUAUUCUCUUUAAUGAGUUGGUUCAAUGUUAAAUAAAUUUCGAUUUUGGCAUUGUCAUUUGUGUUCAUAGUUCCAAGGAACAUUGCACCAUGAGAACUGACACUCUUCAUAAAGAUACGAUGCUCUAUUGAUUAUUCGCCGCAAAACCGAAGUCUCUAAUUUCCAAAAAUCGUCAUUUAUAGAUGAACAACGCAGAGACGAUUACAGUUAUCUUCUACUAAAGUAUUUAGGACAAGGUCUACACCUGCAACAACGAUUCGUUGCAAAAUCUUUUUUUUCAUGUUAGUAUCUCGAGAAUUUUCAAUGUGAUGUUAUUCGAUACUAGAAAAUGUUUCUUUAAUGAAUUUACUUUUUUCUGGUUUAUCGACCGUAGUAAUUACUUCACAGCCUUCACGGGGGGCUAUGUUAGUAGUUACUCCGACAAUUUCACCAUAACCAGCAUGGCUAAAGAUUCUUUCACUCUUUAGCAUUCUUCCGUUAAUGUAAAGUACAGCUAUGCAUGUGCAAUAUACACAUGGUACUGUUGCUGCAUUUUCUGAACUGCAACUAUCAGGUACAGUUCGGGAGAAGAAUUAACAAAAAUUUGGUCUAAUUUAGUUUGUCUUCGGUGAUACAAUGUUUGCAUUUUAAAGGAUUACUUUUUAAUUGCAUCACAUUGUUUGAUUCCGGAAAUCAGCGAAUCCGGAAAGAACAACUUUUUCUCCAUGUUUUGCAUUGGUA